ACAGGCAAUAUAUGUGACUCUUCGGAGUUUGCAUUGUUAAAUAUGCUAGUCCUUUCAUGAUUAUGUGAUAGGUGGUGCAUGGCCGUUCUUAGUUCGUGGAGUGAUCUGUCUGCUUAAUUGCGUUUCAAAUUACUUAUAAGGUAGCAAUACGCGAUGAAGCUUUCAAUAGUCCUCACGGAUUCACUUGAGUCUCUCGCUUCGCUAUCCUUUCGAAUGCAACGAACGUGACCGCAACCUCUUGUUGCCUUCGUUUAACAUCCUGCAGCUCGCUGUGGGUACUGAGGGCUUCACUCGGUGACUUUGGGCUGAGCAAUCGGUCUUUUGAUCUGAGUAAACUAGAGGGACCGCUGUCAACUUCUUAAACCAGAGGAAGGUUGCGGCAAUAACAGGUCUGUGAUGCCCUUAGAUGUUCCGGGCUGCACACGUGCUACAAUGAUCGUAGCAGUGAGCAUCUUAUUUGAUUUACUUAACACCGCAUACGUGAGUACCAACUAGCUUAGCAAUAAGUCAAGUAGUUCUCUACGCAGCGGUAACAGCCUGCUUCGAGAGCAAGUGGGUAAUCAAUUAGAAGUAACGAU
rnacentral:rRNA from 1 species